rnacentral:ncRNA from 1 species
GUUUGGGAAUGCAGCUCAAAAUGGGUGGUAAAUUCCAUCUAAAGCUAAAUAUUGGCGAGAGACCGAUAGCGAACAAGUACCGUGAGGGAAAGAUGAAAAGAACUUUGGAAAGAGAGUUAAACAGUACGUGAAAUUGCUGAAAGGGAAACGCUUGAAGUCAGUCGCGUUGGCCGGGGAUCAACCUUGCUUUUGCUGGGCGUACUUUCCGGUUGACGGGUCAGCAUCAAUUUUGACCGUUGGAUAAAGUUCAGGGGAAUGUGGCAUCUUCGGAUGUGUUAUAGCCCUUGGUCGCAUACAACGAUUGGGAUUGAGGAACUCAGCACGCCGCAAGGCCGGGUACUUGUACCACGUUCGUGCUUAGGAUGCUGGCAUAAUGGCUUUAAUCGACCCGUCUUGAAACACGGACCAAGGAGUCUAACAUGCCUGCGAGUGUUUGGGUGGAAAACCCGGGCGCGUAAUGAAAGUGAAAGUUGAGAUCCCUGUCGCGGGGAGCAUCGACGCCCGGACCAGACCUUUUGUGACGGAUCCGCGGUAGAGCAUGUAUGUUGGGACCCGAAAGAUGGUGAACUAUGCCUGAAUAGGGUGAAGCCAGAGGAAACUCUGGUGGAGGCUCGUAGCGAUUCUGACGUGCAAAUCGAUCGUCAAAUUUGGGUAUAGGGGCGAAAGACUAAUCGAACCAUCUAGUAGCUGGUUCCUGC